CAAGCGCCACGAUAUUUUGCAGCCAAAAGAAUUGCAUGGUUCUGUCUGCAAGCUGCUGGACUUCCAGGAUGGAGCUGUGUACACUCAGGUUUAUCAUAUGCUCAGCUCAUCCAUCUGUGUCUCAGUCUCCAGUGGACUCAUGAGUUUCAUCAAGAAAACCAUUUUCAAACCAGCAGACCAAAACAGAUCGUUUUCGGCUCCAAGCUCCAUCGAGGCUUUGCAGUAAUUUUACCUUGUGUUUACGAUUUAUGGAUGCAACAUAUACACAGAGCAGACAAGAGUGGUCCAAAUAUUUUCCCCUUGCAGGUUGCUUCACAGAACGCAGACUCUUCUUCGCAGAGAUCACGUUGGGGAGGGAAUCGAUAA
rnacentral:lncRNA from 1 species